GGAAUAUUGGACAAUGGGGGCAACCCUGAUCCAGCCAUGCCGCGUGUGUGAAGAAGGCCUUCGGGUUGUAAAGCACUUUCAGCAGGGAGGAAGGCUGUGAGGUUAAUACCCUCAUAGAUUGACGUUACCUGCAGAAGAAGCACCGGCUAACUCCGUGCCAGCAGCCGCGGUAAUACGGAGGGUGCGAGCGUUAAUCGGAAUAACUGGGCGUAAAGCGCGCGUAGGUGGUUUGGUCAGUCAGAUGUGAAAGCCCCGGGCUCAACCUGGGAACUGCACCUGAUACUGCCAAGCUAGAGUACGGUAGAGGGAAGUGGAAUUUCCGGUGUAGCGGUGAAAUGCGUAGAGAUCGGAAGGAACACCAGUGGCGAAGGCGACUUCCUGGACUGAUACUGACACUGAGGUGCGAAAGCGUGGGGAGCAAA
rnacentral:rRNA from 1 species